CGCCUGUUAAGCGUCAGGUCGAGAUAUCGUAAUUCUCCCUAGCCUCUUUAAUGCGCAUCAGGCCAUGGU
rnacentral:tRNA from 1 species